CCGGCGCUAAGUCACGCUGUGACGUCAUUCCCCUCACUCAUCCCUCUGGCCCGCGCUUUAUCAUCUCGCGUUGUCGCAAGAAGAAAGGUCUAAAGAAGCCAGAUAUGUUUCUGCUUGUUUUUGUGUGCUGUGCCAAUUUCCAUGAGAAGAACACAUCUCUGGUCCCAAGAAGAUGAGAGGCGUGUGGAACAAAGCCACUCCAGUCUAGCUAUCCCAGCUCAGCCCGGCCUACACCAGCUGACUCCCAGCUGACCUGCAGAUCCGUGGGGAGAAAAAAGGAAGAACACCAUGUAACAAGAGACAGAUACUAGAGUGACGUCACUGUAAGCCCAGAAACACCGAGAAUUGUUGGGAACCACCAGAAGCUGGAAGAAGCAAGGAACACACUCUCCCUCAGAACCUGCAGAAGGAACCAGCCCUGCCUACACACCUUGAUUUUGGACUUGUAGCCUCCAGAAGUGCAAAUUGCAGAGCCUGCUCAGAUUCGGGAGGAGGAAACAGACUCCACGUGUUGAUAGAGGAGUGAUAGAGGUCCACAGGCAUGGAAGGACUUGGUGUCCAUCUUUGGAAACAGUCUCAAACAAGGAUUGUGUCCACCUGAGUUUGAGUAAAUGCAGAAAGAAUUGGCUUAUGGCGUUGAGGAGAGCCUGAAGCACAGAACCAUUGAGGGUUUUGCUGAAUGCAAUGGAACCACCGUCUCUGGAACACCAGGGGCCGGUCGCCAUAGAAGCAGUCAACCUGAACCGUUGCAGGGUGUUUAUCUUCAGGAAUCUUGAGGCCCACCCCCAGGAGCCCUGGGCUUCCAGGAGGAUCACUGCCCCUCUGACAAGCAUGCACGUUCCAGGGGACCAGGGGCUGUGCUUCCUGAACACAACUGGGACAGGAGCUUAUGGAAAUGGAUUGAGAUGAAUAGACGCCCAGAGCCAAGUUCACAGAUGCUGCACGUUGAGAAGUGCCAUGUCCCUAAGCACCCUGCCGGAGGGUCCCCUUAAUUUGGCAACUGUAAAGUAAACAUCUCUUCUUUCACAUAGCCCUUGCCCUACAGGCCACGGCCCCACAUAGAUAACUAUCCCUCAGCUGAGGUGGCCACUCAAGCCCAUGGCUUCGCUGCCUCUGGGCAGCCCCCCUAUCCUGACGCGGGCAGCCCCCCUAUCCUGACGCAGACAGCCACGGUGCCUCGUGAAAAAAUGCCCCGAAUGAGAGAGGAACGUUCACCUAGGGGAGUGCCGGGCUACUGAAAUGUGGUGAUCUUCUUCAGGUGUUGGUAAGCCAACAGAUAAAAACAUUUAGAAAGCAGAAAUGAGAAACAGUUACAUUGGAAAGAGGUGAAGGGAAGCAGACUUCAAAAAGACUGACCGCCUCCCCCCCACCAGGUAGAAAACCAAAUAAAAGAGGAAAACCACAGGCUUACAAAUUGGGCAAACUUAUAUUCUUUUCUCCAUGGUGGGAAAAAAGUAACUUUUUCACACGCCUGUCAUAUCCUCAUGCGUUGGCAUCGUGAAAGUCAGGCACAGAGCUGCAUCUUGUUUAGGGAGUUCAGGUUUGUUAGGAACUGCUCCAGUCUUUAUUAUCUCGUGGACCAGACAUAGACAGAGUGGCACUAUUAUUUUUGCUUUAUCUCAGGGUGAAAGUUCUUUCUUUCUUUUUUCUUUUUUUUUCUGUUUCCUGACCGUGGUAUGUCAUAUCCUUGAUCAGAAUGGAGCAGAGAAAAAUACCAGGUUUGCUCUGGAGUCCCUCCUUUGUUCGUUCAAGUUCCUGCCCCAAAGGUGCAGAUUUGACCGCCUAUGACGCUUCAUGAUUUUCUGAUUCAGUAUCAUUAAUAUGAUGUUUUCUUUAAUUCGAUGACUUUAUUUUCAUAGGAGUAAUGAAUGUUUAAUACACAAAGACCCUCUGUACAUUAAAAGAACUAGAGCCACAUGAUAUUAAAGUUUAAGAAUUCCUUCUCUCUGGAGGCCUUAUAAAGCUCCGAGCGGUAUAAGUU